UAGGUUGGUUUACAAAAACAGUAAUAAAGGAAAUGAUUUUAUUAAAUGUUUGGAAAAGCAGGGUUUGAAUGUGUGCGAUAAAAAUGAUUUACAAGAAGAUCAAAAGAUAUACAGGAGAAUGGUAAAUUAGUAACAGUACUCACCAAAAGCUGCUAACAACCCAAUUACAAUGAAACAUUGGAUCUAUAAGGAUGCAAUGUGAAAACUAAGCUAUCAAUGUUUGUGCCUUGUACUGCAAUCUUCUAGCGGAUGGUCCAGUUCAGGCCCCCUUGGAGAUGUUCUUGAAGUGUCCCGUGAGGCAUGAACACAUACAAAAGCGACCUCUAAUAGCACAAACAUGGUUCUUACCAUCGGGCAAUGUGUGAAUAAUACGUGGAUUGAUAAUACGUGUUUGCUAAUAUUCCGCAGAGAAAUUCAUCCCCACCAGAAAGAGCAGCCAUUGGAGGGACAUUAGCAGAAUACUGCGGAUAUGGGGUCCCAUUGAUCCGAAUCCAGUCCAUUGAAAAAAAAGUAGGAAUGGAGGAAGGAUAUGUGAAGAUUGAAGGAAGCCAUAACUCCUUAGCUUUACUACGAGAUUCGCGCAGUUUUUCCCCAAAUUGAACCCAAACAGGUUGCCA
rnacentral:lncRNA from 1 species